GGCUAAUUUUUUGCGUAUUUAGUAGAGACGGGGUUUUGCCAUGUUGACCAGGCUGGUCUCGAACUCCUGACCUCAGAUGAUCCGUCCACCUCGGCCUCCCAAAAUGCUGGGAUUACAGGCAUGAGCCACUGUGCCCAGCCGAGAUACCUCGAUGCAGGCAUACACUGCAUAAAAAUUACAUCAGGGUAAACAGGGUAUCCACCACCUCAAGCAUUUAUCCUUUAUGCUACAAACGAGCCAAUUAUACUUUUAGUUAUUUUCAAUGUAC
rnacentral:lncRNA from 1 species